AAUAAAAAAAAUAAAUAAAUAAAUAAAAAAAGCGUUUACAUCGGCCAAUGUGUGGAACUCUCAAUUUGAUUAGAGAAGCUUCUUGUUGCAGUGACCAGGGCUAAAUGCAAGGAAUCAUUACUACUCAAAGUACAGAGAACGAAGCACUUACAGUCCUCGACUCUAGGUGUGAUACCUGUAUCAGUCAUCCCCUCUGGGAUGACUAUGAGUCUAAGAGACCAUCAUAGACCAGAGUGCAGAAAACAUAUAAAAGCCAAAGGUUGGGGAGGAGAAAUGUGAAAUGUCAUCAUUUGAUCGUGAAGUACAUGGCUCAUGCAUAACCUACAUCAGCAGUUGUGGAAACCUGUACUACUAGAUCAAGCCAUUUAAAACUUAAAAGGAGGGGGGAGGGGGAUGUUUGCCCGGAAACCGGGAAAGGGAAUAACACUCGAAAUGUAUAUAAGAAAUACUCAAGUUAAUAAAAAAAAAAGAUCAAAAGCAAAAGAGUAAACUUUUGUAAAGAUUUAAUUAAUUAUAUAAACAUACUAACAAUUUUCAAAAGAGUAGAUAAUUCAGUUAAGUUUAUUUUGUUUAUAAAUAAAGAAUUCAAAUAAUGCCAUCAUAUUAAUUGGCAUAAAAAAAAACAUGGAAGGUAGGGUUUCCAGAAUGAUUGGCAGGUGGUGUCUGAUGGAGAAAGGAAAGUAAAUUUUCUUUGGAGUUGUGACAAUGGUAGUCUCCCGGCCCCAGGGGAUGACCCUACACACAAGGGCAUUUGGGCAACACUAAUUAAGGGAACAUAUACUUAUAAAGGAUUUGUAAUGAAGGGAGGAAGAUUCUGAGGGGAGUAGAAUGGAGAGUAGCUACACAUGUUUGAAUCUCUCAGGUAUUAAUAAAAACCUUUAAAAUAACAUCACCAUCAACAAGAAGUAAAGUUAUUAUAUAAAUUCCACUCUUUCAAAGAACUUAGGAGCAAGAUGCAAUGUCCUCUUCAAUGACAUGGUAAAUUCAAGUUCAGGCCAGGCUACAGAAUACCCUGUCACAAAACAAUCAACCCAACACAUGCACAGCAAAAACACAUUAGACAAGUUGUUUGAAGAUGCUAGAAAAUUUCAUUUGUGACUUUUUUUUCCAAUAAAGGAAGGGGUAAUGGAAUAUUUGUUUUCUCAUUUGUUUGUUGUUGUUGCAGAAAUGAAAAACAAAAGUCUGAAGGAACAAAAUAGAAAAAAAGCAUAUUAAUAUAGUAAAUAAAAAGUCUAUAGAAGAAUCCAAACAGUCUACAUCGGAAACACUUCUCUCAAAGUACUUGGAGUAACAGAAGGUUAAACAAGAUUGACUACUGGGUAGAUUGUCAUGUGGGGAUAAAUUACUUCAGAUAAUAAAUCAAGUUGCCACACAAUGAGACACAUCAGAUUGAGACUUAUCAGAAGCAAGAAAAAGGAAGAUAUAAUCACAUCCUGAACAAUACAGUUGUGCUGUGAUUAAGGUUGGGGGAUUUAAGAUUAGAGUUUUUCCAUAGACCUUUUUAUCCACGUUUCUAUUCUUUCUGUUUGGCAAGCUCAUGUCCUAUGGUUGUAGUCUAAAUAUUGAGACAUUUUGUCUAAGAAGAAAUGCAAAAUUAGCCUGUGUUCUUAAGCAUCCUGAGAGAACAGGGUAGGUAGGACGUCCGUCAUUUCUUUGGCUAUAUGAUGCUGGUUUGUAGUUUGUUCUCUGAGGUCAGUUUCUGGGCACCUUUGAAGGUUGGAAAUAUGGUGCUUUACAUUCAAAGUUCACUAAGCAAGACUGGUGAUUCCAACUUAAAUUCCGAGUUUCAUAGGACACCUAGGACUGUAAACAUAAAGUCAUCGAUUAAGCUGUCUGCAGUCACUUAGAUUAGUCAUUAACUGUAACGCCCACAGGUAUCAAGUUGCUCUCAGAUUCCUCAUUUGUUAGGCAUUGUGCACAUCAUAUGAUAUUUGGAGGCACUUAUGUUAUGGUGUGAUUAGUAGAUCCUGACACUUUCAAUUUGUUGAAAAUUUCAAUUGAAUUAGUACAUUACUAAGAGGUAUACUUCCUAAUGAAGUGCUCUCCAGAGCUCCAAAGGGACUUGGAGUCACACCUUAGGCUGCGUUUAUCCUCCUGACAAACAUGUACAUUAUAGGAGCUAUAUUGCAGAGGCCAGAAAUGAGUGCAGGAUUUAUCCACUACUGUAAAGGCAGUUGGAUUCCCAUCCACUGUCAAUUCUUGUCUUCUUGUUAGCUUUUAUGUGAUGCAAUAUUCCCCCAGUUCCAUGGGUGAGAUCUCGAAAAUUGUUUUAAGUAAUUUUUGACAAUAUCCCUAAUAUAUGAUGUGCUCUUACUGUACCUGCUGACAUUUUCAAUCUAAACUACUGACUGAGAAGUACAUAUGAAGAAGGUUGUGAAGGAGGAGGAGGAGGAGGAAGAGUAAAGAGGGGGAUCAGGGAGAGAGUUGUGAAGAGCUGGAAAAGAGAAGUGGGUAAGGGGAAGAGGAGAAGAUUCCCUACAUUAAGUCUUUGGGAAAGAGGUUGAGUAAAGUAAAUGAGCAAAAACAUUUGAAGACCAUGCUGAAGCCUGGGCUCGUGCUGUGCUUGUCAUUAGAUGAAUGAAAAACAGAAAAUAGAAUUAUUUAAACAUCACUUAUCCACAUAUAACUGAAAAAGCAACAUUAAUUUUCAUUGUAGUUAUCUCUAAAAAUACAUUAAUUUUGCAAGGUUAUAUUUCACCCAAGAAAUAAUUAAAGCAGUGGUUUGGAGAAUGACUGGUCAAUAGCCUUUUAUGUAUUUCUGAUGUCAGUAAUUGCUUCCUUUUAAUCAUGGCUCGUGCUUCCCAUUGUCAGAGGCUGCUGCUUUGGAAAGAGGAUAUGAUGACAAUUUUAUAUCCUUUCUCUGCAUCUCUUUGAUGUAGUUAUCUAAAGUAUAUAUUACCUAUAGUAAGGGUUUCUCUUUUCUGACUGUAUAUUAAAAGAACAAGAAAUUUUGAAGUUGGAGCAUGGUGCAAGAAACAAACUCAUAGACAUUGUGUCUCUCCAAAAUUGCAUUAUUUUUAUCUCUAAUUUCUGUUUACAUGGAAUGUAUUUUUAAAACCAUUACUAAAUUAAUGCUUUUCAAACUUAUUUUAAAUCUUUAACUUCUUACCCAUUUUAAAUAGUGUGAUUAAAUAUAUAUUUACAUGUAUAUGUAUACACAGACAAGCAAAUAAAAUUUUAUUGGAAUAGAUUAUUUUGUAAAUUUCAUUUCAUAACAUUUACAUAUAGUAAAGACCCUGAAUAGAACCCUGAAUCCAUUCUAAAGAGUAUAAAAUACAAAUUAUAACGGCAUACAUGACAGAAAAUUAUCUUCAGUAACAUAGUUUUAACUUACUUUAUACAGAUUUUAUUACAGAAAAUUUUGCUUGUUUUGAGAAUGUUUUUCAAGAAUUUUAGCUUUCUACUUUAGAUUAGAGUAAAACUUGGAAUUUAAUUUUAAAUACCACUAAGAAUUUUGAAUCAACCUUUAAGUCCUAAAACAUCUGUACAGUUCUUAUAUUCAUUUUAGAGUUUCUCAAUGUUAGAACUUCUCAUGACAGACUUCUAAAGUAGAGUUGAUAGCUAGUGACUUUAAAAAUCUUAUAUUGGCUUGCAACCCCAUAAGAACAACAAUACCAACCAACCAGAGCUCCCAGUGACUAGACUACUACCCAAAGAGUACAUAUGGACAGACCCAUGGCUCUAGCUGCAUAUGUAGCAGAGGAUGGCCUUCUUGGGAACCAAUGGAAGAAGAAGCCCUUGCUACUGCCAAGGCUGGACCUCAAGAUAGGGGAACGUCAGGGUAGGGAGGCAGGAAAGGGGGUAGUUUGGGGGGAACACCCAUAUAGAAGAAGGAGGGGGAUGGGAUAGGGGGCUUAUGAUGGGAAGACGGAAAAAGGAAAUAACAUUUGAAAUGUAAAUAAAAAAUAUCCAAUAAGAAAAGGAAUAAAAGGAAAAAAAACUUAUGUUGCACUCUAUGUGUGGUCUAAUUAGAUGCUUACUAAAUACAAAAACAUGCAUAUUGAAAGCAGUCCUUGGUUUCUAGUGUGUGCUAGCUUCUGUGGUUUGAAAAACUCUCAGCAUGUGUGGCAUCAACUUUUUAUAGGUAGCUCCUGGAUUUAUAUUGGUUAAGAUUCUAAUUAAAGCCUCCUAAAUAGCAGAACUCGAGUUUUAUAAUAAAAAUUGUCACCUGAAGCGACCAUUAAUUUCCUUCAUGAACAUAUUUGCUGAAGUAUAAGGGCAUGCGAUAACACAUUGAAAAUCUGAGCCUAAUUUUAAAAGUUAGAAGAAAAUACAUACUUAUUAGUUAACAUUAGUUUGGAGCCAGAUAUUGUGAUCAGGUCUUUGGUGCAGACUUCAAUCACAAGACAUAAGAGACAGAGGCACAUGGUUAUCUUUGAAUUGAGGACAUUUACAUAGUGAUUUUCAGACAACCCAAGGCUUACCAUAUAGACUGAGAAUAUUUUUCAAGAACUUUAGCUUUCUACUUUCAAAAAUCAAUUUAGACAGAACUUGUUAAAAAUUCGAUGUGGAUUUAUCUACUAGGAAAAUAAAAUGUUACAUUGUCUCUUGCUUGAAAAAGUUGCCCCAGUACUUUGUCUUAGACUGGUACAUGCUACUUGGUCUUUUCAUUAGCAAUCUAUCUGCAAGUUUUUAUUUACUCAUGCAUCAUAAAUAAAUUUGAUAACAUUUAUAACUUUUCAAUAGUACAUCAGAUUGUUCUCACAGGCUAGUUGUCCAUAACAAAGUAUUGAUUCUCACAUUAUGCUAUGAUGGUCUGUCUGAUAGUGGCUCAAAUAUCUUCUAUCAUUUCUGUGACUAUCUAUGAACUGUUCUUGUUAUUAUCUUCUUUUCUUCUUCAGGAAUGCAGUAACACACGCCUUUUACCCCUCAAAUUACUCAGACUUGCUAAAAUAGAUCUAAAUUUAUAUACUUUCCUUGACAUAUAUACUGGGUGCUUAAUGAAAAAUGCUUAAAUUUCUCCUUAAAACAAACAAAUGAAAAAUCCUCAGAAGACAGCAUAGACCCUGAACAUACAUAUAUUUCACCAAAAUGAUUAGGGACAUCUCAGAUCUUGUUUUUUACUACCUUAAACGUUCCUUUGGGUUUAUAUUUGAAACUCAGAACUGAUUGUACAUUUGCCAUAUUACUAUCUUUAAAUCUUUGAGACAUUCCUGGCAUAACAUUGACACAGGGUUUCUCUGAGUGUGUAUGACUCUCAUUCUCAGUCAGUUGUUUUGACAUGCACUUCCAUUUUCAGAUUAAAUUCCAAUAAUUAAUUUUGAUGUAAUCAGCACUACUUAUUUUAAGCUUCAGAGAUUUGACUGUGUAUUAUGUGGGUUCUGGGACCUUUGCUACUUCGUAUAGUCAUGUGACUUCUUCUAUGCCAGCGAGUCCCCAGCAGAAAUGUACAGUGUUUCCAGAAAUACAUUAGAGCAGCUGAGCCUAUACAAUUUGCCUUUUCUCUUUUUAAAAUCAUCCUCAUACCAACCAACCAGAACUCCCAGGAAUUAAACCACUACCCGAAGAGUACACAUGGACAGACCGAUGGCUCCAGCUGUAUAUGUAGCAGUGGAUGGCCUUGUUGGCACCAGUGGGAGGAGAAGCCCUUGGUAGGGCCAAGGCUAGAACCCCCUUCCCCAGUGUAGGGGAAUGCAGGGCUGGGAGGCAGGGAGAGGUGAAUGGUUGGGGAGAGGAACACGUCAUAAGAGAAGGGGUAGGGGGAAUGCAAUAGGGGGUCUAUGGACAGGAAAGUGGGAAAGGGGAUAACAUUUGGAAUAUAAGUAAAAAAUACCCAAUUAAAAAAAUUGUCUUCUCUAUUUGCCCUUUUCAACUUUCCUUUUUUUUUCUCAUAUCAAAAUGAUUCCAGACUACAGACCUUCAAAUCACUUCCCUAGGUCAAAGUUGAAUUUGGCCAAAGAAACCGAUGGUUAAGGUCUGUUUAACAAUAAGACAGAUAAACCAAGAGUACCAAAUGACCAUAGUGACACUAUGCCUGUUAUAACUAGGUGAGGCUACAAUGUCCUUUAAUAAGAGGCUCCACUGAGUACUAUUCAAAGGAGAUAGUCGAUACCCUAUAAGGCAUGAAAGAAAAAUUACUGAUUUGAACAUCAAGUUGCCUUAUGUUUUUCCAUUUUCUUUUUUUUUUAUAAAUUGUUUUAUUUAUUUAUAUUCCAGUCAUUGGUCUCCCGCUCCACAGUUCCUCAAUCCUAUUCCCCCUCCCCCAUGCCUCCAAGAGGCUGCCCUUCACACACCAGGCCUCUCCCUUCCCUGGGUCCUCAAGUCUCAUGAGAAUUUAGCUCAUCUCCCACUGAGGCCUGACCUUCGCUACAUAUCUCAGAUAUCUAAGAGCCUAUGUAUGCUCCUAGUUGGUGGUUCAGUCUCUGGAGCUCCCUGAGGUAUGGGUUAAUUGAGACUACUGGUCUUCCUGAGGGGUCGCUCUACCUUUGAGCUUCUUCAAUCCUUCCCCUAAUUCAACCUUAGGGGUCUUAACUUCAGUCCAAUGGUUGGAUGCAAGUAUCUGUAUCUGUUUCAGUCAGCUACUGGCAGAGCCUCUCAGAGGACAGUCAUGCUAACCUUUGGUCUUCAGUCUCUUCUCCAAUUUUGCCCCAGCAGUUCUUUUAGACAGGAACAGCUCUGCCUCAGAAACUUUGACUAUUGGUUAGUUACCCCAUUGCUGCACUUGAGGUCCUAUCUAUCUACUGGAGGUGGACUCUCUAGUUCUUUCUCCAGAUUGUUGGGCAUUUUGACUGAGGUCACCACCAUUGAGACCUGAGAGUCUCUCAUCUCUUGGGUUUCCUGUACUUUCUAGAGAGAGCUCCCUAUCACCUCCCCCUUCCUGAGCUCCUUAAUUCUAUUCAUUAUCUUGGCCUCAGGGCUUCUCUCCUGCCCCCCUCCUGCCAUAUCCAAUCCUGUUCCCCUUUUCCCUUCCCCCUCCUAUCUCCCAGCUAGGUCUCUCCCUCCCUCCACCUCCUGUGACUAUUUCCUUCUUGCCUUCUAAGUGUGAUUGAAACCUUCUGACUGGGGCAUUUCUAUUUGUAACACUUCUUAUCAGUCUGUAGGUAAUAUCUUUGAUAUGCUGUACUUUUUGGCUACUGUCAGUAAGUGCAUAUCAUACAUUCCUUUUGGGUCUGAUUUGCCUCACUCCAGAUAUUUUCUUGUUUGAUCCAUUUGCCUGCAAAUUUCAUAAUGUUCUCAUUUGAUAGCUGAAUAGUAUUCCAUUGUGUAAAUGUACCACAUUUUCUGUAUCCAUUCUUCAAUUGAGGGACAUCUGGGUUGUUUACAGCUUCUGGCUAUUAUAAAUAAGGCUGCUGUGAACAUGGUGGAGCAUGAGUCCUUGUGGUAUGGUUGGGCAUCUUUUGGAUACAUGCCAAAGUGUGGUAUAACUGGCACUUCUGGUGAAACUAUUUCCAAUUUUCUGAGCAACUGCCAGAUUGAUUUCCAGAGUGGUUGUACCAGUUUGAAAUCAUGCCAACAAUGGAGGAGUGUUCCUCUUUCUCCACAUCCUUGCCAACAUCUGCUGUCACCUGAGUUUUUGAUCUUAGCCAUUCUGACUGGUGUGAGGUGGAAUCUCAGGUUCGUUUUAAUUUGCAUUUCCCUGAUGACUAAAGAUGUUGAACAUUUCUUUAAGUGCUUCUUGACCAUUUGAGCUUCUUCUGUUGUAAAUUCUUAUGCAUUUCUUAAAGUUAAUCUUAAUUCGGAGAGUUUAUUUAAUGAAAUAAAAUUUAAAAGUACAUAAGGGAAUUUUAUAAAGCAAAAAUAAAAAUCAAAAGCCUCAGCAAUAUCAGUGAAAAUAAUUUUAUUGAAUCUCCAAAUGUUAUUUUAAUUUACCUUGAUUAAAAUAUAAAUGGGAUGAAGUCUCUACUUGUCUAUUCCCCUGUGGUAGAUGAGCAUUGUUAAGAAAGUCUGGGCAGUAGAUAUUUAACCUGGGAAGACAUAAGGACAUUUUUGUGCUUUUUUGCUUUGUUUUGUUUUUCAAUACAUUAUAUGCUUUUACAGAAUAAGGCUGGUAUAGCUCUAAAUAUUAUUAGAAAAUGUCAUUGCUGCAUUUUCAUUUUAUACUACCAAACACUUUUAUAUAAGUAAAGUCUAUUUUAAAUUUUUUUAGUAUAUUUAAAAAUGUAAUGUUUAUUUUUGGAUAAUUUAGUAACUUGUAUAUGCAACUUUGAGAAAAAAGAUGGAUGAUAGUUUUUUUUCAGGUUGAAUGUUUCAUAGGUCUAUCAUGAAAUAAUCUAUAACCUUAAAAAUACGGGAAUGAGAUGAUGAUGGGGUUUGCUCUAUACUCAAAAUAUUUCUGUUUAUCUAUUAUAAUAUUUAAGCUUCUAAAUAUAAUGUGGAUUGUAUACCGUUUUCUGUGAUGGGAGAGUGCUUACCAAAAUAACACAAUAUAAAGUGUUAAUUCACUUCACAUGUUCUUCCUGAAAACUUUUCUGAACUCUUAUUCCCUUCUCAGUGCUAACUGUUGGUAACAUUCCUUUUGUGCCUUACUUCUUCUGUGGGUUAAAUGCAAACAAUGAUAAAGUUGAUACUCUUGUCUUCAUUCGGUUCAUUUUAGAAAAAUAAACUACUCCUAAAAGAAAAAUGUUUUCCAGCUUUAGGAUAUCCAUGAGCUUGCUGCCAUUAUUGAAACUAGUGAGGAGAGAGGAAGAAGGUGGCCAGAGUGGGUAAGAAUGUUAUCCUAAAGAUUAUAAACCAGGACAGUGAAAGUCAUAUUGUAAAAAUCCCACUUUCCUGGUAACCAGUCAGCUCUUGUAUUCUUAUCCUUCUUCCAGAAGAUGGUCAUUCACCCCUACCACAGUACUAUGUCAGUGGCCUUAGUAAUGUGUUAGUGACAUUGUCUGCUUGUCUAAGAAAACCACUUGUGUAUCAAGAACCUGUGUUAUAAACAUUUUGUGAAUUUUACAGGAAGAAUUAUAGAUUAGCAAACUCUGUAACCUAGGGGAGUAGAGGACACUUCUAACAUUUUUCAGGAAAUUUAAAAGGACAAGGUUUGCAUAAUCUUUUUUGUUUUUUAAAAAGGUGGGCUUUUUAUUUUUUGAUUUCUUUAAGGUUUGCAGUUCUAGUCAUUAAACUUAGAGUCUCAUUCAUCUUCUGCCAGAUAAAGCCCAUCCAGGUUAUGAAUUUUAAUUUUUUAUAUACUAGAGAAGAGUUUACUAACAGUACACUGACCAAUAAUGAUUUAGGGACUCUUGAAAGCAGUAAUGACAUGUUAUCUAAUGCUUCACAUAUAACUAAAUGUAAGAUAUUGAUUACAGAAAGAUAUACGUUUGAACCAUAAGGCAGAUGGCAGUGACUUUUGCUAAUAAGUCUGUCACAGCUUUCUAAUAAAACAUACUUCCCCAUAUCCAAGACCAGAGAAUCAUACUUGACUAAUGCAUUCCUUAAUUGCCGAGUCUCUGAUCAGUUUUGAACUUUUGUUAUUCUCAAGUGACCAAUAUAUCUAGAUGGUGAUAUGGAUGAGCAGAUCCAAAAUUAUCUUUGUCAAAGGAUUUUAAUUUAGUUCAAACACAAAAUAAUGCAUGCUUUUUAAUUUUCAUUUCUCUCUUUGUCUCUCACUUUCUUGCCCUUUGUCUGUCUCUGUCUGUCUGUCUCUCUGUCUCUCUGUCUCUCUCUCUCUCUUGUUCUCUCUCUGUGUAUGUGUGUCUGUGACUAUGUAUGUACAUUUUAUGCAUGUAUGUAUGUAUGUAUUAUGUAUUUAUGUACUCAUGUAUUAUAGCAACAUAACACAUUCCUGAAAGUUACUGAAUACUCAUGGGACUCAGUUUUCACUUCUUCUAUGAGGGUUCAUGGAACCUAAGUCAGUUCACCAAACAUGAUAGUUUAACCCCCUUCACCAUGAGUCAUCUUUCCAGCCCUUCCUUAACAUUUUGAAGAAACAUUCAAUUUCUUAUCUGGAUUUUUAAAAUUCUUCUUGAAUAAAUCUUUAUUUCCUAUUUCCUUGUUAUAUAAAUUCUUCUCCCAGAUUCCAAAAGAACAACACUUUCCUCAAAUCUUAAUAAGGCAAAUUUGAUGAAGGUUCAAAAAUUGUGCUUAUAUAAAAGUGAUAUUACUGUGAUAUCCAGUUUAUUUUAUAGUUUACCAGAUGUAGUAUUCCUAUUUGAAACUUGUUUUACUUCAUAUUUUUAAGACAGUUUUGUUUUUGCCAAACAUCCACUGUUGAUGUUCUGCAGUCCGAAGCCAUACUUUUGGUGAAAGGUUGAUAUAGUCAACAAUAGCCGGCUCAGAUACUCUCAGAUGUUCUCAGAUAUCCCAUAGUAAUCUCUUCAUAGAUGAAUGCCUAAAUUCACAAUGAUAUCUUUCCUAAGGCCAUUUUAUCUUCUAUGCCUUUGUUUCCAACUUAUUUUCAUGAGAGAGUGAGUCCAAAGAAAUUACAAAUAGAAUAAAUGGAUACUCAAAUGGACAUUUUUUUCUAGUAUGGUUUAAGAUGCCGAUAACAAAGAUGAGAAAGGUAAGUGUUCUGAAACUUUUGAAAUGCAGUAAACUAUGGAUUACUUUCCUUGAAAAGGGAAAAAAAAGAGAAAGUGACAAAAGGUAAUGGUAGAUAAAAGAUGCUGUUUAAGUUGUUUUAGAUUAUAUGAUAAUCAGAUGCAAAUGGUGAUGGAACAUCAAUGAUUCAAGUAUCCAUGGUAAAGCUGAGUUGGGGAAAUUUUUUCAAAAGAAUUCACACAUGACUUAUAUGUAGAAAUAUGGAGUUUCUUGUGAUGCAUAUAGAAAUGGUCUACAAAAAAGUAUGAAGACAGAAGACUGCUAACUCCACACAAAGAGACAAGGGUAAGGAUGGGACAUAAAGUAAAGGCAUAGAAAAAAGAAUGGGGAAGCAGCAAAAAGAAUCAAAAAGAAAAGCCAACCAAACCACUAGAAAUCCAACAACAACUUGAAACAGAAAGGAAGGACAGACAGAGCAGGGAAAUAACUUCUUCAUAAAAGAUACUAAGAGCUCAAUUAAAAUUAAAGUAAAUAAGUCAUUUAUUGAUUUCUUUUCAAUUUGAAGGUAAUUAUCUCCUAAUAUAUAAACAUUAAUAAGAUAGAGGAUAGAGGAUAUUUGCCUUAAUAGAUAAAUAAGGAUUAUAAGUUUUAGUGGGUCCUUAACACCAAGAGCUAUUUUUCAUAAAAGUGUCUAGAAAAACUGAAUUAACAAAGUGAUAUGUAGAAGAUUUUUCUAUGAACUGUUAUAUGUAUACAGAUUCUAAAUUUACUGCAGUGAAUAAGAAAGCUGUGGCCUUGUAGGACAACUGUGGGGGGAGAGGCCCUUGGUCCUGUGAAGGCUCAAUGCCCCAGUGUAGGGGAAUGCCAGGGCAGGGCAGCAGGAAGGAUUGGGUGGGUGGGUGAAUGAUGUAGUACCCUCACAGAAGCAGGGGUAGGGAGGAUGGGAUAACAGUUUCCAGAGAGAAAACCUAAGAGAAAAGAAAAAAUGUUAAAGAAAAGCAAGUAGUACGGAGAACACAUUGGAAAGCAUGCCAGGUAAAAGCAGAAUUCUGACUCUAAGACCAGUCUACUCACCAUCAUUAGACACUGGCUCACCAUCAAUAACAACGGUUUUUAAGCAUUUACAAUUGUAUAUUUUAAAACCAUACAAUAAUAGUUUAUAUAAUAUAUUUAAAGAGAAACUAAUGUUUAAUUGAUGUGUAGAUAUAACUAUAUCUUAUUUUAUUUACAUGUAAGGUUGCAAUUUUAGGACCAAAGGAUAUAACGUAUGAAAUCCUGCUAGGUAUAGUGUUUUCCAUUCAUUGAUAACUGGUUUUAUCAUAUAACUGAGCCUUGUAUUAUUAAGUGCAUUGUAACACUACUUCUGUUUACUUUUUGUGUGUGUGUUCUGUGUUUUAGCUUCCCUAUAACUAAAUAGUGGUCAGUCUUUACACUGGAAUAGUGCAUCUAGAAUUGAUUUAAGGAACUUUUCUCUAUCAUUUCAGUGAAAAGUGGACAGAGCAUUUAUCAUGGCCUAUCUUCAGUCAGAACGUCCACAGGGCAUUUAAUUUAAUGCUGAUAGAGGGUCACGUAAUGAAACCCAUUGUUAUCGCUUCACAGAGAUUACUGGAUGUUGAAUUAGAGCUACAAAAUGGAGUGCACAUAAGAGUCUCUGGAGCUCAUGUGACUGUUAGAGGAUGUGAAUGUGUGCAUGUUUAUGCUUGGAUUAGGCAGAAGGAGUCACUCAAACUAUACACUUGGUCAUCUUCUAAAGUGAAAGAGAAUGUGUUUGAGAGUGAGGGAUUAAAUGAUUUUAUUUAAAGACAAAGAGUAAUACACUGUGGAAGCCUCAAGUAUUCCAAUAUGUGUGUGUGUGUGUGUGUGUGUAUACAUAUAUACUUAUAAACAUGCCUCUACUUCUAUUAGUGUGUACACAAUAUACCGCAGCUCUGUACAUCAAUUGCUACUACAGUUGACCUCAGAAAAUGUAGGAAGGAGCUGGGAGGAGCGGAGGCUGAUAUUGGAAUGUAAAGUAAAUAAAUAAAUUUAUUAACGAAAAGUUCAAAGUACCCUAUAAUGCACCUGUCCAGAUAGGUCUUAAAGAUAAUUAACUAAGUAGUAGAGUAUAACCACUAUGCAUGUGGCUUUUUCAAUAUGCUGGGUACCAUAAGUAAGUGAUAAUCAGUUUAAAUUAAAAUGGAAAGAUAAACUGAAAUACAAUAUACAUAAAUGCUGCAUCUCUCUAUGUGAAAGAUGUAAAUUUUUAUUUUUGGAAGUCUGUUGUACAACAAUAAUCACCUCUGGUACAGAGUAGAAGAUGUAUUCUCUCUCUCUCUCUCUCUCUCUCUCUCUCUGUGUGUGUGUGUGUGUGUGUGUGUGUGUGUGUGUGUGAAGAUCCACACAAUUGUAGACUACAGAAGCAUUUUUAAAGUGAACUCAUAUUCAUAAACAAUUGGUAUUAUCUUAAUCCAACAACUGGCAAAAUAAUUUGUGAAAUUGCAACCUGUUUCAGCCCCAAACUACUUGUUCGUUUUCAAAUAACUAUUGAUUCAUAUUGUAGAAUGCAAGACACUUGAAUUACCUAUUCACUCAAAAACUUCUGAGGUGUGGGCUUUUCUUCUUCAUUGUGCCAUGUGCCUGUAACAAAUGCCAAUGCAUAGGUCAACCUCACUGUAACAUUUCUAGUGCAAUAAAGAGACUCAGGAGCAGACACUGUAUGAGCUUCCUAAGAAAACAAUUGGAGUUCUGCCUUACACUGUUUCUGCUUGCACUGCUACUCUCAGGUUCCUCCUCUCCUAACUCCCCUCAAAAUGAACUCUGAUGCACAAGGGGAAGCACAAGGAACCAUUUCCUCCACAGCUAGCUUUUUGGUCAUGGUAUUUUAUCACAGCAAUAGUAACCAUAACUAGAGCAAUAUUUUUAUGCACGUAUCCAUCUUAGUAACAAAUAUAAAAAGAGCAAGUAGUGUUCUCUCACUGUGAGGUUACCAAUCCUUUUUGAACCACAUGGAUGAUUUGAUCAAUGGUUAUAUCUACGACAUGCAUGUGUUUAAACAAUGCUCCAUGUCAGGUUACGACAUAAACUGCUGAACAUGAAAACAUUCAUGAACCUUAAAGAGGUCCAUAUUCUUCUGUUUUUUGUGUAUUUAAUUAUGUGUUUAACUGUGUAUUUAAUUAUGAUCAUCUAAAUAUUUUACACAUUUUAGCAAUGUGGUUCACAAUCACCAUUCUUAUCCGUGUUUACAGCAGAUUUUUAGUAUUACAACGAAAUGUGUUAUGUGAUUGUAUAUGGUGAAUCCAUCAUCUUCAAAAUAUUCUGUUUUCUGAGAAAUAGAAUUUUGAAGUUUCAGGUCAGAAAUUUGGAGCAAGAAAGACUAGAACCUAACAUGAUACAAAAGAUAAUUAAAUAACCAAUAAAUAGAUUUUAAAAAGGAUGAAAGAAACAAUAAGAUUUUGGAAUCACAUUUUAUCAUAGAACAUAUUCCUGGGGAUAUAAAAACCUUGGUCUUAUGUCUUUAGCAUCUAAAUAAAUUCUAGCUUAAGUAGAUCAGAUUCUUUUCAUUAAGAUGACAGACUUUUAACUUUAAUGAUGCUGACACUUCACUUUAUGCUAAGGAAGUGCUCAGCAAAUAUUAGUGCUAUUCAUCUAAGAAUUUUCUUCAUGAUAUCAUUCUCUGCAAUCUUAUAAACAAAGUGUUACUUUAUGAAUAUGGGGACUUGAUUGAAAUGGGCGAUAUUAUGUGUUAGAUAUAUCCAUAUCAGUGUGACAUAGCUAAAAUAUGUUCCCCAAAUAUCUCAACAGUCCACAUCAGUGUGACAUACUUAAAAUAUCUCAACAGUAGUCUAGUAUAUGUACAAUAAGCAUAGUCAGUGUUUAUGACCUUAUUAAAAAUGAAUUAUUAAAAGAGCAUAAUCAAUAACUACUUUUAAUGUAUUACUGUCUAGGUAAAAAUUUGGUAGAUGGUAAAACAUAUUUUAAUGAAAAGGAACUCAUGUAUUUUAAUAAUAUUUAGAGUAUAAAUUAUUUGAAAUAGGGUAAACAGUAUCAUGAUUUAUUGCUAAUUCUAAUGCUAACUCUUUGUCUAUCACCUAUAGAAACCAUCACACACACAUAUUAAUUUAGUUCUGUUUAUAUGUUGAAGAAAGGAUAGUGGUUAAAACUAAAUAAUGCUGACAAUAUUUUCUAGAUUAUGCCUGUGUACAUUUACUUAUUGUCUCUCAGGGAUAACACUUUGGGUUUUUCCCCCCUUUUUAUUCGUUAUUUUAUUUAUUGACAUUUCAAAUGUUAUAUCCCUUCCCAGUUUCCCCACCACAACACCUCAUCUCCCUUCCCCCUACCCCAUGACUCUAACAGGGAGGUCUCCUAACUGCCCACCUACUCCCGCCUCAGAACCCUAUCAUUCUCCUACCCUGGGUCAUCGAGCCUCUUUAGGACCAAGGGACUGCCCUCCCAGUGAUGCCCAAUAAGGCCAUCCUCUGUUAUAUAUGCGGCUAAAGCCAUGAGUUCCCCCAUGUAUACUCUUUGGUUGGUGGUUUUAGUUCCUAGGAGCUUUGCGGGAGCUGAUUGGUUGAUAUUGUUGUUCUUUCCAUGGGGUUGCAAACCCCUUCCACUCCUCAGUCCUUGCCCUAACUUCUUCACUGGGGCCCCGUGCUCAGUCCAAUGUUUGGCUGCAUGUAUUCGCAUCGGUAUUGGUCAGGUUCUGGCAGAGCCUUUCAGCCAACAGGUAUACCAUGCUCCUGUCAGCAAGCAAUUCUUGGCAUCAGCAAUAAUGACUGAGUUUGACGUCUGCAGGUGGGAUGGAUCCCUAAAUGGGGCAGUCUCUGGAUGGUGUUUCCUUCAGUCUCUGUUCCAUUCUUUGUUCCUGUAUUUCUUUUUCACAGGAGGAAAUCUGGACUAAUAUUUUUGAGGUGGGUGGGUGGCCCAAUCCCUCAAUGUGGGGGCCAUGCUUAUCUACUGGCUUUGGUUUCUACAGGUUCUCUCUCCCCUUUGUUGGGUAUUUCAGCUAAUGUCCUCCCUGGUGGAUCCUGGGAACCUUUUGGGUCCCUGGUAUCUGAGACUUUCUAGAGGCUACCUCCAGUUCCCCAUACACGACUGCUACACACCUCCUUUCAAAUACCUGACCCUCUGUUCUUCUCCCCCAUCUCCUCCAAUAUCUAACCCAGCUCCUCUUUUUCUUCCCCCUCCUUUCUCCCUCCCAAAUACCUCGCUCCCUCUACUUCCUGGAGAUUAUUUUCUCCCUUCUGAGUAGGACUUUCGCAUCCACACUUUGGUGUGAUCUCCUUUCUUCUUGGGUUUCAUAUGGCUUGUGAGUUGUAUCGUGAGUAUUGUGAGCUUCAUAUUGGCUAAUAUCCACUUAUCAGUGAGAACGUACCAUGUAUGUUCUUUUGUGACUGGUUUACCUCACUCAGGAUGAUAUUUUCAAGUUCCAUCCAUUUGCCUGCAAAACUCAUCAAGUCCUCGUUCUUAAUAGUUCGGUAGUAUUCCGUUAUCGAAAUGAACCAUAUUUUCUGUAUCCAUUCCUUUGUUGAGGGACAUCUGGGUUGUUUCCAGCUUCUGAUUAUUAUAAAUAAGGCUGAUAUGAACAGAGUGGAGCAUGUGUCAUUGUUGUAUGUUGGAACACCUUUUAGGUAUUUGCCCAGCAGUGGUAUAGCUGAGUCUUCAGGUAGGACUAUUUCUAAUUUUCUGAGGAACCGCCAGACUGAUUUCUAGAGUGGUUGUACCAAUUUGCCAUCCUACCAGCAAUGGAGGAGUAUUCCUUUUCUCCAUGCCAUAGCUAGUAUCUGCCAUCACCUGAGUUUUUACAUUUCUGACACCUAGGUAUUUGCAUUGUUUCACUCUUUCUAAGUAUUUUUUUAAAAGUUACUAUUUCAAAAGAAAAAAGUUCAAUGUAGUUAACACAACAUCCACACACAUAAAUACUAAUUUCAAAAAACAAACACCAUUAGAAAACCAAGAAGAAUGAAAAUGAGGUUAUACAUAUUAAUACAUGAAUACAAUACGGUAAAAUAAACUCAGAGUGUAAGAAACAAAAUGUGAUGUUGAGUGUGACUUUAGCUGACAUUCUGAGUUACAUUUGCUUUUUAUAUUUUGCUAUUUUAUUUUAUUUUAUUUUUAUUUAUUUUAUUUUUAUAUUUUCUUCUGUCUCUUUCUCUUUCCCUCCCAUCUCUGCCACUCCCCACCCCACCCCAGAUUGAGGAACAUAACCAAGGAUGUCUGUCCUCUCUCUUGCUUGAUGCAAUCCAUCAUGAAGAUGGAGUUCCUGUCUAUGCCAAGGAUGGAUCAUCCUGAAUUCUCAAUAUUUAAUAUGUUUUCUCUACUUUAGUGAACUCUCAGGGUCAAAUUUUCUUGUGUUCAUUUCCUCUUCUACAGAAGACAUCCUCCCUGACUGUAUUUUAUAAAACCUAGAAAGGCAGUUUAGCUGUUCAGCAAUGAUUCCUUCUCCCUGACAUGCCAGUCAAAAACUCUUGAUAGAAUUUAGAAGCACAGAAUGCCCUUAAUCAACUAUCCUAAGUAGAAAGCCCUAAGCUUUAUAGGCCAGAUUAUAAAAUAUAUCUUUUCUUUCAUUUUCACUUCAUUUUCAUUCUUUAAAACUUCACAUCUACAUAAAAUGCAUUUGAUUAAACCUAUCACAUUCUAUCUCCUUAUACUUAUACUGGAUCCCCCACCAGCAAUUUUCCCUCCUAACUUUAUUCCUCUUUUUAAAAAAAAUCAUACUACUUUAGUAUGGCAUGAAUUUACAUAAAUAUAGAACCACCUACUCAAGGUUUGGUGCCCUCUGAUAGGAUGAUAUAUCACUGUAAAUAAGAAAAACACACUCUCCCUCACGUAGUAGUCACCAGUUGCCAAUAACUCCUCAACUAGGGGUCAGAGUUCCAGGUUCCCUCCUUUAUCCAUGCUGUUACUUUAGGGAAGUUGGAUUCAGGGCCUUUCAGGACAUUAAGGUAGGAUAUUAUCUGGGUUCUCAUAAGUUAAAGACUUGAACGAGGCUGGACCAUCAUACUUAAAUACAGCCUAAGCAUUUGGUUCAUAAGUCAGUGCUGGCAAACAUAUUUCUCUAGAAAUAGAACUCUCAAUGACCAUCAUACCUCUUUAAUAAGCUCAAGAAGGACAACCAAACUGAAGAUGCUUUGAUCCUUCCUGGAAUGGGGAACAAAUAUUCAAGGGAAGAAAUAUGGAGACAAAGUGUGGAGCAGAGACUGAAGGAAAGGCCAUCCAGAGACUGCCCCACUUGGUGAUUCAUCCCAUAUACAGACACCAAACCCAGACACUAUUGUAGUAGAUGCCAAGAAGUGCUUGUUGAUUGGAACCUGAUAUGGAUGUCUCCUGAGAGGCUUUGCCAGAGUCUGACAAAUACAGAGGCAGAUGCUCACAGCCAACAAUUGGACUGAUUCUUCAGUGGAGGAUUUAAAGAAAGGAAUGAAGGCGCCGAAGGGAUUUGCAACCUAUAGGAAGAACAAAAUCAACCAACCAUAUCCCCCAGAACUCCCAGGAACUAAAACACCAAACACAUAGAGAAUACACAUAGAGGGACCCAUGGCUCCAGAAACAUAUGCAGCAGAGAAUGGCCUUGUUGGACAUCAAUGAGAGGAAAUGUCCUUGAUCCUGUGAAGGUUGAAUGCCUCAAUGUAGGGAAAUGCCAGGUCAGGGAGGUAGGAGUUUGUGGGUCGGUUGUUGGGGGAAGCACCCUAAUAGAAGGAGGGGGAGGAAGGAUGGGAUAGGAGGUUUCCAGAGGGCAAACCAGGAAAGGGGAAAACAUUUGAAAUAUAAAUACAUGAAAUAUCCAGUAAAAAGUAAGUUAUCCUAUACCAUGGUACAUAUGGAUAAGAUUAACUUGUUUUAUAAUUGAUGGGUAUGGCCUUAGAAGUCAUGUAUAUUUUCUCCAAACAUAAUCUGUAGAAGAUGGUAUUUAAUAUGUAAGCUCUUAUGCUACCCAUAGUCAUGGGCAAGAAUAACAAAAAACCUAAUGGCUAUCUCAAAUGUAAUUCUUAAAGAGCUGUUGAAUACUUAUACGGGUUAGUGUUUUUAUUUAUUUAUCUAUCUAUCUGUCUAGUUAGUUAAGCUACCAGGAUUCACUUGAUGCGACAUUACCUGAAAUGUCCAACAGUUGGGAGGUGGAAGCAGAAGAGACUGCCUCCAAUAGACAAACAUGGCCUCCAGCUGAGCCAGGGAAUAUCCCACCUAUCAUCAAAUUUUUUAACCUGGAAUUGUUCCUGCCUAAAGGAAAUGCAGGGACAAAAAUGGAGCAGAAAUUGAAGGAAAGGCCACUCAGUGACCAGCCUAAUUUGGAAUCUAGCCCAUGUGUGCACACCAAACCCUAAUGCUAUUACUGAGGCCAUGAUAUAUAUGGAGACAAGAACCUGCCAUUACUGUUCCCUCAAAGGCUCUACCGGCAGCUGACUGAGACAACUGUAGAUACUUACAGCCAACCAUUGAAUUGAGGUCAGAGACCAAGAUGAGGUCAAGGACCAAUAUAGAAGGGUUAGAGGAAAGACUGAAGGAGCUGAAAGGGUUGCAAUCCCACAGUAAGAACAGCACUGUCAACUAAUCUUGACCCCUCAGUGCUUGCAGGGACUAAGUCAAAAAACCAGAAUCAUACCUGACUGGUUUGUGGCCCAGGGCACGUGUAGCACAGCACUGCUUCAUAUGGCCACAGAGAGGAUGUCCUUCCUUUUGAGACUUGAUGCCCUAGAAAGAGAGAUGCUGGUGGGGGUAAGGUGGGGUGGGUGACCUUGUGCGGGAGCACUCUCUCAGAGGUGGGACAGAGGGGGAAGGGUAAAAGAACUGGAGAAGAGGGAAUUGGGAAGGGGGCAACUUUUGUAAUGAAAAUAAACUAAUUUAAAAGAAAUAUAAUAGAAAGGAAUUUUAUAGUUCUUAAGUAGGUGUGUUAAUUUGUAUAUUAGUCAUUUAGAACGAGAGCUCUUUUCUCCUUAAACUGCAUAGUGAAAUCAACAGAUUUGCUUUCCAAUUUGUUUCUUUUAAAACAAUUAUCUUGUCAUAUUUUAAAUAGAACAUUAUUAUACACUGUGACCUCUGACAUAAGACAGCCAUAUUUUGUGCUUUACUAUUUUAAUUCAAAUCUAAGUCGCUAAAGUUUUAAUGGCACUUUCUAUACUGUUUGCUUGUAAGUGUAUUCUGAUAAGUUUCUGUAUUUCAAUUGCAACACUCUUCCGCUUUGUCUAAACAUUAGCUACGUAAAAGAACACAAUGCAUUCACUGCAGAGAUUUCCCUGAGGGGCUUUGAUUAUCUCCUCACACACUCAGAACAAACCAGACUCUAUCUGUCUCUCUCUGAAGCUGUCAUAUGUCACAUUUAGGUGUCAUUAAGUCAAAUGGUGUAUUUGCCUCUAUUACAUUUUUCUCAAGGAGUACAUGAAAAAGACUUAUAAAUUCUUCUGUGAUUAGCCAACUAGUUAUGCUUCCCAUUAAAUUUACACUUCAGUAAAUUUUAAGCAAAAAAUAAAAGUAUCCACUUUCACUUCUUAGAUUUUUUUUAUUCCAGUUAAAGUCUAUAAGAUAUGAUUAAACUAUCAAACUUUAAAUUUUGUAAAAUAAGAAUUAAGGGCUAAAUUUUUCAUCCCCUCACACCAUUUAUUAACUUUUAGGCACUUCCUUUUUUUCCACAUCCAUUCCAUAAUGUUAAUGUGAAGAUAGUUUCUCAUCAAAUGCUGAAUCUAGUGAAUGAAGGAUUUGCAAGUGAAAGAUCUCCCAAUACUCCUUUUCCUAGCACCCAACUACAGGUAUCUUUCCUAUGUGUUGAAAUGCUCUAUGAUCCUGCUGUCUUUGAGGUCAUCUGUUGUUGCUUAAAUUCCUUUGAAGGGAUUAAAUAGAAGCAAUGUCUACCCCUCCUCUCAAGCUCUCAGGGACAUAGGGAGGCAUCAGUUCAUCAUCAUUCACUGUGGAGGAACCAAUGAGUGUACAGGGUUUUCUUGGGAGCAUAAUUAGGAGGAUAAUGUUUGCAUCCCAUAACAGUCUUCAACUGAAAAGCCGUACACAACAGUGAUGAUGGCUUACUCAUACUUGAGUCAAUGAAGAAGCCCCUGCUCUAGUUCCUUCCGGGAUCUAGAGCCUCUCACUCAUCCCACAUACUGAAUGGGCAGGGACCAGGGAACAGCUAGAUUGUUAGAGAAGAAUCUCCAGCUUGAGGCAGUGUGCAAGACUAGUAUACAUGAAUUGUUUUGCAAGGGGCAGUGUCGGGUAGGGGAAUGUCACAGCUGAACUUGCCAAGAUGGUGGUGGUUUUGCUGGAAGACAAUCACUUAUGACAUCAAUUUGCUACUGUUUAUACAUAUGUCAGUUCAAUUAAUGUCCACUGUCUCUUUUGGUGGUAAAAUGUGAACCUAUUAGACGUUUUUCCAGGCCUCCAUUUCUCAUAAAGAUGAAUGAAAAUCAUUACUUUCAUUGCAUAUGACUAAAGUUGAACUUGACUCUACUGUCUAUAUGUGCAUUAUUUAAAAGCCAAGCUUAUUUACUGAAAUUAUAUAUAUAUAUUAUUCAUAGUAACACAAGAACACAUCUGUUAUUUAUUUUCCUCACAAGGUUCAUAUGACAGAGAGAGAGAGAGAGAGAGAGAGAGAGAGAGAGAGAGAGAGAGAGAGAGAGAACCAGAUACAUGUCAUUCACAGACUCCUCUGAAAAUGUUAAAAAAUAUAAAGUAGGUGAACAAUUCUUUGUGGAGCAAAGUAAAAAUUUUACAGUGAAUAAAAAUGUAUGAAACAAGAGUUUUUCAAUUGUUCACUAUUACUUUGCAAAAAGACAAUUUUCUAAUUGACCAAUGCUGAAUAAAUUCUCCUAUCUAGAUCCAUGGAUACUCAAAGUGUGGUUGGUAUCAAAACAGUAGAAAAAAAUUCAAGCAAAUAUGCAAGUGCCCUGCAUGCAUCAUUAUCUUUGAUGAACAAAGGACUUUGCAUAAGAUAUGAGCUGAAAAUCUAACGUCUGCUCUCACAUUUGUUAGUUUAUCAUUACAAAUUAGUCUACUGUAAUGAAUAUUUCUUGACUAUAUAUAUAUAUAUAUAUAUAUAUAUAUAUAUAUAUUUCCUUCGUGUGGCUGUUGAAUCAAAGUCACCUCAAAGAUAAUUUCUUAAAUUGUAAGAAUAAAACAUUCAAAGGCCCUUACUAUAACCAGUAGCUCAAUGUAAUCAAUUGAGUACUUAAUAGGUAAUGAGUUGAUUAAAGACAUAAUUAGGAAGCCAAACAUCAAGGAUAAUAAACGAUUAGGGAAGCUUUUGAAAGGAUAGUAGUAGUUUGUGUUGGCUUAUAUGCAUUGCUUUUGUGCUAAUAAGGAUCACUGGUUCAUUAGUGUCAUUUCAAGCUACCGAGUUUUCAAUGCUUCGAGCAAUAUCAGAGCUAGAAAGGCAAAACACAGGGAGCUGAAGAGGUCUUCUAAGACAAGUGUGAACAUUUAUGAUAUUCAUAAUAAUUGCCAAGUGCAUCUAUAAUUUACUUAAAUGCUACUGAUUUUCUAACGAUUGGGGGAAUCCAUAUGAGUAGAUGUAUUUAAGCCCAAAUCUUUGGAUUUAUCCUCUAGUAGGGGACACACUUAUGAUGAAUAUCAAUCUUAGCUGAAAUGCUAAAUGUCAGGAGCAUGCUGUAAGCUAUCGAGAUUAACACCAAGAGGUGAAUGGAGUUGGGGUGGAAGAAGAGGCACUUGUAAUUAGGAUCAACAGGGCAGAGAGUGAGUUUGAAGAAAUCAUACUGGAGGAUAGGGAUAUUUGAGAAAAUUUCCUACAGCAGUCCCAGCCUGCCAUGGCCAGUGGAAGAAAGUAUUUUUGGUUUUGACUAGCUGGCCGGCACACAUACACAUACAAACAUACAUACAUAACACACACACACACACACAGACACACUCACGCACAUGCACGCACGCACACGCACACACACAUACAUACACACACAUACACACACACUGCACAGAGCACAUACACCCACAUACCCACACACACAUACACACACAGUACAGCACCAUACACAUAGAACAGCACACAUAUAUGGACAUACACACACAGCACACACACACACAGCAUACACACAAACACACCCACACAUUCACACACACACACACACACACACACACAUACACGCAGCACACACACAAAGAUAGGGUAGAAAGAAAAACUAAUCCAAGAGUUUAUUCUGAAAUAAUUUUCAAGAAACAUUGAAAAAAUGAGCUGUUGAAGAUUUUUAAAAAAUUCUUUCAUUUUGUUGGUCCAGCUCUUAUGUUAUGUUGUAAAAUACAUCCUUGCAGAGUGAUUGAUGGGGAAAAUAUUCUUAUCUCUGUAAAUAUGUAAGUUAAUUAUUAUGGCUCAGGAGGCACAUGCUAUUUUAAACUUGACUACACAGAGAAUAUUUACUUAAUUACUUAAUUACAGUAAUCUGAGAAAGAGAUCACUGUCCAGCUGACCAUUUCAACUAAUACUGUCAGUUUUUAAAAUUAAUAUUAAAUCUGCUCUUCUGCAAAUAUCAGUUCUCUCAUGUCUCCCUUGGCCUUAUUCCUACUUUUUAGAGAAACUGAGGCAAGUCACUUUUGAUGUCUUUCUUUCUUCUAGCCUAGAAACACUGCUGAUUUUUGUUCAAUGCAAAACCAAAAACAAGUUUAAAAAAUCCCCCAAACCGGAAAAGAGUACCAUAUCAGCCCUGCAGUUCUGAACGUCAUACAAAGCUUUCCUUCUCUUCACGGGGGGCUAGGAAAAUGCAUUAGAAGCCUGUAUUGUAAAGACUCCUUGUUGACUAGAGAAGGUAGCUAUUUCUAAGAAUAGAACAUCUGUCCUCACAAUGACAAGCAGAAGGUGCUAACAGGGUGUGAAAUUGUCAUCAUUUGUGGCUUAGCUUUAUCCACAUAGAAGUGUAUUUAUUGAUCUUGCUGGAAACCUGAGCUGGGACACAAGGGUUUCUUCAUUUUCAUCUGUUUGUUUGUUUGUUCAUGGUUUGGUGCAGAAGGUAAAUGCAUAUCAAUACUACAUCUGAAAAAAUUAUAAAUUCACAAGUUCUAAAAUGUAAGGUUCAGGGCUAUACCUUAUUAAAAAUAUCAUGAUUUUCCUCAAAAUAUUAGGAGUUAUAAUGAAUUAGUGCUCAUUAAAUAUUAGAGGAAGCAUUUUAUCCAAACAGCUGCUCCCUAAAAUAUUUAAAUCAAUGUUUAUGAUCUGUUAUAUGAAAUUAAACAGAAUCUAAGAUGUUUAAAUAUUUUCAACUAUCAAAUAACAUAUUGAUACUAGACAUUACUAGAAGUCAUAACUGUCCUCUACAUAAAUAUUAUAAAAUAUAUGUUGUGUUUGAACCAAUAGAAAUGUAUCCUUUCUUGAUAACAGAAAACUUUUUCUUCACCUCAAUUUUAUGAAAAGAAUAGAAUUUACUGCUGUCUCAAAGAUCAUUUUAUUAUGGACUAUUUAGAAAGCUCAAUGACUAAAUAUCAAUAUGAUAAUGAAUUAUUUUUAGCACCAUCUUAAAUAUACAUUCCAAUAGCCAGUCAUUUAUUUAUAUAGACACUAAAAAUAACUUAUGUAUUUGAUAGUUACAGUAAUAUCAAAAUCCAAAGCAAUGACAUAAUUUAACAAAGACAAAUGAGACUUUCUCUUAUAUCGUAAGACACGUUCAACAAUAUGAAGCAGGAUUCAGGCCACAAACAUGAACACACAAGCCUGGUUAUUCAAAUAAUUAGCCUGGGGUUGGGGAUUUAGCUCAGUGGUAGAGCACUUGCCUAGCAAGCACAAGGCCCUGGGUUCGGACCCCAGCUCCGGAAAAAAAAGAAAAAAAAAAACAAUCAAAUAAUUAGCCUGAAAACUCUUAGUGUACUUUUUGAAGUUCUGAAUUUCUUUCUGUGUAGUAUAUUAGCAUCUGCCUGUCUGUCUGUCUGUCUGUCUGUCUGUCUAUCUAUCUAUCUAUCUAUCUAUCUAUCUAUCUAUCUAUCUAUCUAACUAUCCAUCUAUCUAUCUCUCCAUCCCUCUCAUUCUGUGUGUCUAUAUGCAUACUUCUCUUAAUUAUCUUGUGGCAAAAAAUAGUACAAUAAUCUCAUUUCCAUAGAUAGUGUAAAGGCAAUGGCUCAUAUUCAUUUCACAUUUAAUAUUACAUUUCCUUUUCCGAUUAUGUUUCAUUUCAAAGAUUAUCCUGUGUUUUUUCUUACAUUACAUAGUAGUAGAUUAAAAUAUUAAAAAUCGUUAUAUUUAUUUGUAUGUGUGAUGUGGUGUGUGUGUGCGUGUGUGCGUGUGUGUGCGUGUAUGUGUGUGUGUGUGUGUGAGAUGUGGUGUGUGUGUGAGAGAUGUGGUGUGUGUGUGUGCGUGUGUGUGUAUGUGUGUGUGUGCGUGUGUGUAUGUGUGUGUGUGCGUGUGUGCGUGUGUGUGCGUGUGUGUGUGUGUGUGCGUGUGCCUGCAUACUAUACAGAAGUGGAUAUCUGAGAACUGCAUGUGCCAUUGGUCGUUACCCUCAGUCAGUAUGCCGUAGGGAAUCAAGCAUCCUUAUUCAGGUCAGCAUCAAGAAACUUCAUCCACUGGGCCUUCUCAUUGGCUGAAAACAUUACAAGUUCUUCACAAUGUGUAACAUCCUACCCAACCAUGAGGUUUUGUAGGUAGUUCCAACAUUCGUGAGUUCUCACUUUAAAUAUAAACACACAUUUUGAUGGAAGUCAAGAGUCUACUCGGAAAGGUCUAUAUGAUAUCUCUAUGAAUCAGGUUUCUAUUUAGAUGAAAUCAAGAUUUUAUUUGAGGCCCACAAAUACCUCAUUAAACUCACAACGAAUAGGAUGCUGUGAAUGAGGAUGUUUUCUGAGCCUUUCCAUUCCUUGGAUUCCUUGCUUUUCUUCCCAUCUUUCUCUGAGAAAGAGAAAUUUCUUUCUCUUUUAUAAUAUAUUCUCUAUCUGUUCAUGAGUUAGACACUCCGUUCUUCUUUGUCAUUCCACUGAACUCUUACCCAUGUCUCCUUAAGUAUGCUCUCUUCUGAAAUAUCCUUUUUAUGACCACCACUUUCCAACAGAUUAAAGCCCCAGAGCUUUACUAGCACUGUGAUCCAUGAGUCACUGAAGCUUUCAUCUUCGCAUUUGAUGUCUCCCUAACACUCUCUAUCCUUUGUUUAAUCCAAAUAGAGCCAGGUUACUGAGUAUACAUGCAUUCCUAAAAAAUCUGUUCCUUUUCUUUUGGAAAAGUCUUCUGUAUCGUCUGGAAAAUUUAACUAAUUCUGUAAGAUAUUAUUUUAUUGGCUGAUAUAUUUUAAAAUAACUUACUUGAUUAUUUCUUUAGUUUCCUCAGUCCAUUGGGCUCCAGACACUUUCUUUCUGUUUUUAAUACCAUGUUUUUGUCAUCCGUGGCUACUGUUAGUAUAUUCACUGUCUUGACUGCAGAACUAUUAAUGGUUGAUACCAUGUUUUAUUAUUCUUUUUUUAAAGAUUUAUUUAUUUACUUAUUAUAUGUAAGUACACUGUAGCUAUCUUCAGACACACCAGAAGGAGGCAUCAGAUCUCAUUACAGAUGGUUAUGAGCCACCAUGUGGUUGCUGGGAUUUGAACUCAGGACCUCUGGAAGAGCAGUCAGUGCUCUUAACCACUGAGCCAUCUCUCCAGCCCUAUUAUUCUUUCUAACAAUAUUGUACUGCAUAUUUAUUCAGCUUGUCUUUUGAACAUGUGAGGAUGUCAUCUAGAUAUGCUGAACCUAGAAAAACCCUAGAAAAUAAUAAUAAAAAUCUUUCAUUGAGACCUAAAUGUUUGCAAGUCUUUUUUUUUCAAUUUUCAUCACCAAUAAGACCUCAUUAAAAUUAAGCUAUCAUCAUAAACUAGUAAAAAGAUUUCUUUAUGCAUGCUUUAAUUAAUAAUAAAGUCAACAAAAAUACUGUUGCGUUUGGUUUCUUUUGGUCAAUUGCUUCUGGAAGCAGAGUCUGCCCUGGUGUCUUUUAUUUACUCUGGGACACUCAAUUAGAAAAAUAAUGGACUUUUUCAUGUUAUAACAAUCAACAAUUGCAAGUAUCUUGGUUAGAUUGGGAGUGUCCAUGUCUGCUUCUAGCUCCUUAGAUUAUUUCUGCCUUAAACCUGUGUAGUCCUGGCGGGUGCUGCUAUGUUCAUUGUGAGUUCAUAUGCUCAUCUGAUCUUUUUCUAUCUGGAAUAUGCUGUUUCCAUGAAUUUACACACCCUACCUGGCUUCCACAAUGUUUCUAAAUUUUAAUUAUUCACUGAACCUUGAGAGGUAAUGGUUUGAUAAACUCAUUUAAGACUGAGUGCUGCAAAAUCUCUUACUCUCUAUAUGAUAUACAUGGGUCUAUGUUUAAUUUCCCUUCUAUUCUAAGUAGAAGCUUCUCUCCUGAAAACUGAGCAAUAUUUUUAUUUAUGCAUAUAAUAGUAUGUCACUAUGAAUCAUUUUAUUGCUCUCUUCCUUAAGCAGAAUAAUAGUAAGUUUCUCCUUAGGCCAAUGACUUAUCUAGUCUCAGGUAUCAUGUAAAGUUUCAGGUGAACCAAGUGUGCUAAGUGGGCUUUAAAGCAAAUCAAAAAGUGUUUGGUUACUCCCAUAAUAUUUUGCCACUGUGGCAUCAAUAUUUCUUGCAGGAAGUUUAUUUUAAGUGAUAGGAUUUAUAGAUAGGUGAUAUUGAUGAUUAAUUUUCACCUUUAGUAUCAUCAUGACCUUUCAGCAAAAGAAAUUCUAUUCAAUAGGGAUAUAACUUCUAGUUGGGCACUUGCUCGAUUUCUGCCUAUUCAAUAGCACACAUAUAUAGUAUAUACGUGUAUAAGCAAAGAGUAUAGUGCAAUAAAGAAAUGGAGUGGAACUACAAUAGGAAGAUUACAUGGAGAAUGCAGAUGAGAGGGAGAAAUUACAGGAUGGAAUAUCGGGCGAGAAAGUUAACAAAAUAUUGACAUAUUGAAAUGAAUGUUAAGGUUACAAGAUCUUACUAGUUAGCUCUGGCUGGCCUAGAACACACUAUGUAGACAAGGCUAGCCUCAAAAUGAUAGAUAUUUUGAACCUCUAUGGUCUUUACUAGAUGAAUGCCUAGCAUACAUCUGAAUGCCUCUUUACUAGAUGAAACUGAAGAGAAACAAGAAAAGUGAUUGGAAAUCUAUGCAACCUUGCCAUGGAGAGGAAAACUAUUUAGAGCAAUGAGAGCAAGUCUCUUUGCCAAGUGUAAUCUAGCUGCAUUUUAUAUUCUCAAUAGAAAUAUUUAUAGUUUAAAGCAAGAAUUUAAAACCAUUGAGUGAUUGUAUUGUGUUAGACUCUUUUUUGUAAACAAUAAACAAUGAGCGGGAUUUAUAUUCAAAUAUAUGCAUUCAUGUGAAAUUUCUAGGUUUUUUUCAUAAAUUCUUUUCAUCCUCUCAUUUCUGGCCUUUUAAGUUGAGCCUUCCCUUACCAUCACACAGCUGUCUCCCACAAUGAAUUGUUUACCUGGAAACUCUUUUUCAUGGGACAUACACAUGUGUGUCCUUUGUAUAAAGCAAUCUUACAAAGUCAUAUUUAUUAUUUUCCUAAUUUCUAUUAUGAUUAUUUUUAUUAAUUUUCUCUCUCUACCUGUUUUCUCCUUGGUGCCUAAAGAUUUUUCUGAUACACUUCAUUUAUCAUGAGGAAUUAGUUUUAUUUGGUAACUCACUCCCCCUUUUUCUUUUCCUUUUUCUUUGCUGCUUUUUGUUAUGUAUGGUGUGUGUGUGUGUGUGUGUGUGUGUGCACAUGUGCACACAUGUGCACACAUGUGCACACAUGUGCACAUAAUUAAAGGGAUCAACCAUGCUACCAAUUUCCAUCACCAUUCUGAUACUAACAGUACAUGCCUGGCUCACAGCACUAAAGAGGUAAAGACAGAAUGGUUGUUGGACAUGCAAAUUAGCACAGCCUACGAAGAGAUUUUGGAGCCAAAUAAGCAAGAUCCUGUCUAUGAAAAAUAAUAAAACACAAAACAAGGCUGCAAAUUCAAACCAUAUCCUACAACUGCUUAAAAUGUAAUCAAAAGGUCAUUAAAUUACCAUUAUGUUUCUGCAUAGUUGUAUGAAUUGGGAAGAAUACAUUGGCUGAUGAAGAGUUACUGGGGGAAAAUAAAGGUGGUUGUAAUAUGAUGAGACAAUUGAAGAAGUUUUAUACCAGAGAUCUGAUAAUAUCCAUCCAGCUCUUGAGUCGUGCUUUCUGGCAGAGUUCUUGUGAUAACAUAUGGUCACAUUAGGCAUGCAGUGUCAAACUCAGAAAUCUAUGGAGCAUAGGUACAUGUGUGGUGGGUAGGUAGGACAUGAUGGUUUAAGUCUUUUUGGCUCUGGAUCUUGAUAGGAAAGGAAUUGUCCUUUUGAUUGAGGUGAUGGGAAUCAAAUGACAUAAUUUACCUGGUAGAAUUUGUUAUUUUGUUCAAAUAUCUUCAUACAUAAAUGAAUAUAUAUUUAAUAUGGAUAUACUUUAUUUAAUAAAAAUAAAAUAUGAGGACUAGAAAUCUGUAUUUUAAUAGACAUUUUAACAUUCUACUUUCUAUAAUACUUAAACCGCACUUUGAUGUUACAGGAUUAUAAAAGGACUAUUUUAAUACCAUUUACUGUAGUGUUUCUUCAUGGAAAUUCCAUUGGUACAAAGCAGCAGUGUGCGUCAUAUCCUCUCUAUGACAUAGAACUUGAUCACUUGACCUACAUACACUCUUUGUCAUUCAGAGUAGAUUUCUUUACAUGUCAAUGGGUUUAUAAUCAGAUAUGUCAUAGAGUUGUCUUGAAUUAUAAUAUUUAACAUACAUGUUUUUAAAAUGUUUACUAUUUUGUAAUAUGUAAUAUAUAAUUAUAUAUUAUACUUAUAUGUAUAUAAAUAUGCAUUUUACAUAUAUUACAGAUAUAUAUUUAUGUAUGUACAUUUCUCAGACUGUCAUAGUUAGAAUGGACAUGAAAUACUUUUCAUGAAACUUGAAUUUCCUCAGAUAAAGUCAUGAGAUGAGAAUUGUACACAAGCUGUGCAAAUUCACAGCUUGGCCUAACCUAGAGCAUUUGCAUCUGUAUUAGUCAUGCCCUGGCAGAGCCUUUCAGGAGAGAACUAUAUCAGACUCCUGUCAGCAAAGUACUUUUUGGCAUCAGCAAUGUGGUCUGGGUUUGAUGGCUGAAUGUACAUAGACUGGAUCCUGAGGUGGGGCAGUCUCUGAAUGUCCUUUCCUUCGGUGUCUUCUCCAAACUUUGUCUCUGUAUCUCCUCCUAUAAAUAUUUUGUUCCUCCUUCUAAGAAGGACUGAAGCAUCCUAACUUUGGUCAUCCUUCUUCUUGAGCUUCAUGUGGUCUAUGGAUUUCAUCAUGGAUAGUUCCAGCUUUUGGGUUAAUGUUCAUUUAUCAGUGAGUGUCUCCAUGUGUGUUUUUCUGUGAUUGGUUACCUCACUCAGGAUGAUAUUUUCUAGUUCCAUCCAUUUGCAUAUGGAUUUCAUGAAGUCAUUAUUUUAAUAGCUGAGUAGUAAUCCAUUGUUUAACUGUACUACAUUUUGUGUAUCCAUUCUUCUGUUGAAGGACAUCUGAUUUCUUUCUAGCUUCUGGGUAUUAUAAAUAAGGCUGCUAUGAACAUAGUGGAGCAUGUGUCCUUGUUAUAUGUUGGAGUAACUUUUGAGCAUAUGCCCAGGAGUGGUAUAGCUGGGUCCUUGGGUAGUGCAAAGUCCAAUUUUCUGAGGAACCUCCAGACUGUUUUCCAGAGUGGUUGUACCAGCUUGCAAUCCCAACAGCAAUGCAGAAGUGUCCCUCUUUCUCCACAUCUUCAAGAGCAUCUGCUGUCACAUGAGUUUUUUUUUUUUCAGAGCUGGGGACUGAACCCAGGGCCUUGUGCUUGCUAGGCAAGCGCUCUACCACUGAACAAAAUCCCCAACCCCAUCACCUGAGUUUUUUAUCUUAUCCUUUCUGACUGGUGUGAGGUGGAGUCGCAGGGUUGUUUUGAUUUGCAUUUCCCUGAUGACUAAGUAUGUUGAAUAUUUCUUUAGAUGCUUCACAGCCAUGUGAUAUUCCUCAGUUGAGAAUUUUUUGUUAAGUCUAUACCCCAUUUUUAAUAGUAGUAUUUGAUUCUCUGGAGUCUAAUUUCUUGAGUUCUUUGUAUAUAUUGAAUGUUAGUCCUCUCUGGGAAGUAGAAUUGGAAAAGUUUUCCCAAUUUCUUGACUGCCAUUUUGUCCUAAUGACAAUGUCUUUUGCCUUACAGAAACUUUGCAAUUCUAUAAAGUCCCAUUUGUCAAUUCUUGAUCCUAGAGCAUAAGUCAUUGGUGUUCGGUUCAGGAAAUUUUUCCCAGUGCCCAUGUGUUUGAGGCUCUUCCCCACUUUUUAUUCUAUUGGUUUCAGUGUAUCUGGUUUUAUGUGGAGGUCCUUGAUCCACUUGGACUUGAGCUUUGAACAGUGUGAUAUGAAUCUUUCAAACUGGCUUCUCUUGGCUUCUGAAUUAAUUGGUCUGUUUGGCUUAAAACUAACUCUGACAAUCUUUUCUAAUCUUUUGGCUUUUUCUCAUUCUCUGUCUUGUUCCCUCUUUACCUGCAAACUUUAUUUGUAAAAUUGUCCCAGUAAAACUAAAUCUAUAAAACCUAUUUAUUGAAUAAUAUUUAUAUUUCAAAUUAUUCAUUAUUACAACAGGUAAAUUAGUUAGAAAGUUUAUUUCUAUUUACUACUUUUAAAAGGAGAAUUUAUGUUUUUAUAGGUUUGAUAAUAUAAUUUCAUUUCCCCAUUCCCUGUCCUUCCCUCCAAAUGUUCCCUGGUACCUACACUCACUCACUCCUUGGAUCUCUUAAAACUUAUGGCUUUUUUUCUAUAAUUGCAGGUUUUUAUCCUUUGUCCUUUUUGUUAUUUGUGUGUGUGUGUGUGUGUGUGUGUGUGUGUGUGUGUGUGUGUGUGUGUGUUCUUAAAUAUAUAGAUACAACCUUCUUGGUCCAUGUGUUACUUGAAUGUAUAUGUUUUUGGGUUUGAGCAUUUAGUAUCAAAUAACCAAGUAGUGUGUUCUUGCCCAUGGAAAAAUAUUUCACUGUUCUCGGCAUUCCUUAGUCGGCUAUAGGUCUUUUAGUAGGAAUGGGCACUCCUGAGCUGGACUUCUUCCAUGCUAGCUAGCAUGUCUGUUGUUCUGGUCCUUGUUUCGGUCAUGUGUAGCUACCCAUAUUGGUAAGACUUAAUGAGUGUAUUCUGACAUUUGUAGAGACACAAUCUCACAGUAAUCUUCCUGAUUUUCUGCCUCUGAAUAUCUAUUUCCUCCCUCCCUUCUACAAUGCUUUUUUUAGUCUUCGGUUCAGAGGUCAUGUUGUAGAUGUUUCAGUUAGGACUUGGCUCCACAAAUAUGCAUUUUAAUGAAUUUGGUUUUUCUAAAACAGCGACCAUUACUGCAAAGGGAAAUUAUUCAAGGAGGGUGAGAGCUACACUUACCAGUCCUAAUGACAAUGUAUAAUGAUUAUUAUCUAGAAUACUUUUAGGAAUUAUGCUUCUUUAGUAAAGUAGUAGUUUUAGCUUUUCCCCCAAGAUGUAUGACCUCUCUAUCUCUGGGUAAGCUGUUCACUAACAACACCAAUAAAUUAUUUAUAAAAUAGUUUUGUGUAAAGACUUCCUCCUUUACUUAUUUAUUGGGAGAAAAACAAAGCAUGCAGGAAUUAACUUAUUUUGACUUAGUUAUUUCCUAAACCUGAAAAAACAACUAUAGUCAAUACCAUUAUUUGCAGGCAGAAGAAUCAUUCAUUUCUGGGAAAGGAUGAAAUCUUGAAGUAAAACUGUAGCAUCUGCUCAAUUUUAGGUGAUUGGAGUUUCCAUAGAAACAGAGAUCUCUAGGUACAUUAUGCAUUUGUGGCAUGCAUAGGGUCUGCUGCUACCUACUAAAACACUACUUGAUAGAGAUUUUCAAUGCUUUAAAUGCAUUUAUAAUUACAAGUUUUUAAGUGAAAAUGGCAUUUGCUUUGGAGCCAGGUUUAGUUCUCCUUUGAGUCUGAGACCUACACCUAAUUGUAUGCUCUGACCUUUCUUCCUUUUUUUUAUUUAAAAAGAAAAAACAGCGCUAAAGUCAUUGCUCAAAAGCUUCUCCACAGAUACUAAUGUGAGUUUAAAUGCUGCAGUGUCCUUUAUCAAGGAGAGCUGACACACUUCCAAAGCUGUCACAACUGGCUAACUCUGGUCAGAUUCAUAAGGGAUUAAUUGGCCAUGGGUGCUUGGGAGCUGAAAUACUGUCAUCGUGGCUGUAGAUCUGUCACUUUGAUACACAAGGUAAUCAACUCUAGUAAUAGACUCUCUAUGAAUGUUAAUAGCUAAGCUAGCAAGAAAUCAUUAUGUGUUGUUUAUUGAACACGAUGUGGAGGAGCAUAGUCCGGGCUCUAAGUGAAAGAUCAUUGCAUUUUGUGGAAUAAACUUCCAGGAGGUACCCUGAGAUACCAAAUGUGCUGUGGUUCACUCUUAUGAGAAACCACAAGUAAAAUGAAGUUGUAAGAAACAAAUCCUGAGAACGAAUGAUGAAGUGAAAUGACCUAAGGUGGUACAGAAAUUUUCUAUGCUCUUUUUAAAAAAUGACACAUAGAACUUAAAUAAAUAAGUGACUAGUUAUUUUCACAUAUCUCUAAUUCUGUCCCCAGAGACAACUUAAUUUCUGCUAGAAAAUCUUGGCACUAAACAAGAUUAACUUACAUAUAGUUAUAUGCAUGAAGUCAUAUAACAGGAUUUAUUUUUUCCUUACACUAUAUCUCUUAUUGACACUGGCCUUCCACACUAGAUUCAGGCAGUAGCUUCCUCAGUGCCCUGUAUUGUCCAGGGCCCAGAUAGAUUCACAUUUGCAUGAUUCCAUACUGAGUCUGACCCAGAUCUCUAGACCUGUGCUGUCCUCUAGGCCCAAGACCAGAAAGGAACACAUACAUAUACCUUGUCAGAGUCUAGCUGGUCCUUCUGCAUACUUACUCCCUUUUCAGCCUCAGACCUAGGCCCAGCUGGGAUCCAUAUCAGAUGCACAAAAUAGAAAUAAAUCACAUGCCAGGCCCUACUGUGAAAACAGAAGCAUUAUGAAAGGCCAAGACUUUAAAAGUCCCCUGCAAAGAUCACCAGGCCUAUAGAAAUAUGUGUUCUUCAAAGGGAACUACCUAGACAAAACUCAGGACAUAUAAUUAAAAUAAUUCCAGGACUUCUAAUAGGAUAUAAAAAUACCUGAAUUAACUUAAAUAGGGUAGAGAUAAAAUUCUAAUUAUGGACCAUAAAAUAUAAACAAAUAACUAAACAAAAUUACAAGUAAAAAAAUAUAGGACUUGCAAGAAUCAAUAGAGAGAUAGGAACAUAAACACAAACACAGCUUAAAUGAAAAUAGAACUGAAAUUUAAUCAAGUAAAGAGGUAGAAAUACUAAACAAAAAAUACAGCAUAUAUGAAAAUAGAACUGAAAUUUCCAAAUAUCUAAUUAGAAACUUCUGGGAAAGCUGAAGCAAUUGAAUAGAUCAAGUAGAGGAAUUGGAUCAGUGAAAAAAGUAACAGCUUUUUAAAAACACAGAUGGGGUAUAUGCACAUUAGCAUACCAUCAGGGAGCAAAUCAACUAAUUAUCGACAUAAAAGGAAGGGAAGCAUCCCAGAUCACUGAUAGACCAGUUCUUCAACAUCACAUCAGAAGAAAACUUCCCACAUUCGGUAGACAUUUUCAUACUGUUACAAGAAUCACAAAGAACAUCUAAUAGUGACAGAAAAGAAACUUUUACUGGCAUAUAUUAGCAAAAAACUAAAAUAUAUAGAACAAUGAAAUACAUUGUAUAAUCAGAACUGGUGGGAAAAUAAAACACUUGCCAUGUAUAAAAGAAAGCGCAUCAGGAUAGCAACCGAUUUCCCAAUGUACUCAUUCAGUGCCAGAACAGCGAAGUGCAGUGCACUCAAAAAGUAGUUCAGAAAGAUCAUAAUGACAUCACUACUUUUACCAAAAGAAAACAAAACAAACAACCAAACUAUCUGCCAUAGUUGAAGAAGAAAUAGAAUUUUCAGUGCCAUAUAUAACCAAAAGAUCUAUCAAGCAAGAAUUUCUGAGAAUACUAGAAGAAAUACUUCAGAAUGAAAAUAAAUACGGGUAUAGCCAAGAGACAACAUAAAAUUUUAAUUAUUAAACCACAAAAGCACUUAGGAAAACAAAUGAAUAAAUAAACCAAAGGAAGAAAUGUGGUGGCAACCAACACAGACUUUCCAAAAAUAAGUUUAAAUGUGCUUCUCGACUCUUCAAUCAAGAGAUAUAGUUUAGUUGAAUUAAGAAACAACAAACAAUAACAAAAACAUGUUUUUGUUUUUAACAAAGAAUUCAGCUUACCAUGAAGAAUCAGCACUGUAAGUGGACCAAGACGGUGUAAGAAACAGAGAUCUAUCUGAAUAUCUCAGGAAGUGGACUUCAAAGCAAAAGUAAUGAAGAGAAAACAAAAGACAUUUUUCAAAGACUACACAUGGACACACCCCUGACUCCAACUGCAUAUGUAGCAGAGGAUGUCCUUAUUGGGCACCAAUGGGAGGAGAAGUCCUCUGUCCUGCCAAGAUUGCCCCCCCAGCACCGCCAAGUGUAAGGGAAUGUCAGGGCAGGGAGGUGGGAAGGGGGGUAGUUGGAGAGGAGGAGGGGAAUGGGAUAGGGGGUUUAUGGACAGGAAACCAAGAAAGGGAAUAGCAUUUGAAAUAUAAAUAAAAAAAAUCAAAACAAGAAACAUUUUUAUCUGAUCAAGGGAAAAUUAACCAAGAAGACAUUUAUUUAUUAGUUCAUUUAUUGGUUUGUUCGUUUGUUUGUAAUUAUAUUUGUGUGCCUGAGGAUUCCAUAAGCAUCAGAUCCCACUGCAGGUAGGGUUACAGGCAAUUGUGAGCUUGAGCUCAGAACUGAACCCUUGCCAACCACAAGAACAGUAUAUACACUUUCUGCUCGAGACCAGCCUUGACUGCGGGCAGAGUCUGAAGAAGGAUGAUACAAGAGCUGUGAAGGAAAGAAAGUAUCAGACAGGAGAAGUCAUUCGCUUCAGGGGAGAUGGGACAGAGAGGAAGCACAUCUCACUAUGGCUUUUCCUACUCUGACAACUUUUGUCUCUUUCAAACUUUAUUUAUACAUAAAAUCAUUUCCUCAGAAAUUUUAUUCAUUGAUUACAUACCCUUUCAAGAUGUAUUUUCUUCUAAAGUAUUUCUUGAUUACAUAAGAAUAUUGAAAGAGGAACAAAGCAAGCAAACAGAAAUUUUAUAAGAACUAAAAAUUAACAUUAUGAUAAAAUAAAUAUUCUUUAAACUCAAUAUCUCCUUUCUUCAGAUUACUGUUAUAAAACCUUGCAGUUACAGAAGUGCUAGACAGGUUGCCUUUAUUUGAAUUUGAUUUUGUUUCAGUCUGGCAUAUGAUUAAUAGCUCAAAAGUUAUUUUCUAUUACCUAUCACAUCAAACUUGACUUUUUAUAGAGGUUCAACCUUUAACCCUUAUUUAAUUCUUCCUUUCCUUCCUCUGUAUUUCUUUCAUAUUUGGCAUAGACCACCAUCCUUUUUCUGAUUCUUAAGAGAUUGUGCAGUCCCUUUGUUUAAGUGAGGACAGUCUAUCAGUAAAGUUCUGGUCUGAGAAUUCUGUUCAGGAAAGUAGGCAGGUAGUUCACUGCACCAAGAUGCCUUCUGUGUCUCUGUCUUGAAUCAUUGUUACAAUGUGAUUGCUAUUUUUAUUACAAUUCUGUAAAGAGCAGGAGAACAUCAGGGUUUCUAAAACUGCUUACUUUUGCCUUCGGGAAAGCACCAAGCCUUGUCAUAAACUUUCGUGAUCAAAAUCUCUUCCUGUAAUACAAGUUCCUUGUUUCUAAAGUUGAACAUUAAAACUUAGCAAUCCAAUUACAUCUUGUCAGCUUCUAAAUUUUCCCUAGGUUUUUCUUCCUUAAUAACCCUUCUCAAAUUCUCUAUCCCAUGCUUACUAAUAACACUCACUGGUGAUCUGAAUGUUUAUUUAAGUAAUAAGUUCUUAGGAAAGACUCAAUUCUCUGCAUAAUUUUCCCAGGAACUUCCAUUAAUUUCAUUCUUGUUUACAUCACUUCUUUGUUAUCCCGGCUCUAGCUUUCGGAGCCAGGCCUCUGACAGUGAGAAACAAGAGUGUAGGGAAAGGGCUGCAGCAAAUAUCCAACCAGGGCAGCGAAGGGUCGGUCCAGGGGGUGCGAGCACUGGAGCUUUUCAAACAGCACCUUCAGGACGCUUGGCAUCGAUAUCUUCAAAAUUUUUUAUUGUAUUUCUUGAUGUAUCUUGGUUUGUCAAUAUUUUCAUCUUUUUUAUAUAUUGAAAAUAGAUCUUUCAUGCAAUACGUUCUGACUACAUUUCUCCACUCCUAUUCUCCUCCAGAUCCUCUCCACCAAUCCAAGUCUAUAUCCUCUUCCCCUUUCUCUCUCCUCUCUCUCUCUCUCUCUCUCUCUCUCUCUCUCUCUCUCUCUCUCUCACACACACACACACACACACGCACACACACACACACACAAG